rnacentral:tRNA from 1 species
GGAGAGGUACCCGAGUGGCCAAAGGGGGCAGACUGUAAAUCUGUUGGCGAAGCCUACGGAGGUUCAAAUCCUCCCCUCUCCACCA